rnacentral:sRNA from 2 species
CGAGAACGAACACUGACUUCGGCAGAGGCGGGGGACCCAAUCACGGGUUCUUCCCACGCGGAAGAGCCCUCGGGGUUAAGUCGUCCAUCCGGACGGCCGGGUGACUCCCAUCCGAACCCGACAGCUCACCUCGCAGGCACCAGGGAGGAAGA